GCAGGGCCGACGCUCCGGUGCUCGCUCAGUCCUCGGCCUCGCUGGCCCCUCGCGCCUUUCGGCAGCCCGCGUUCCCGGCCGCAGCUCCAGCGCGCCCGGAUCUGGCCCACUGCCCCGCGAAGAUGGCUGCCGUACGCCGGGCCCGCAGUUACUCCCGCUGCCUGGUGCGCUUCUCCACCGAGGACUCUGCUAAGCCCGUCGCAGUAGGCGGGCAGGAGUAGACACCGGAGACCCCGCACCGCUCCUCCGGGGGGCGGUGCCGAGGGGGCGCCACAGCCCUUGGACCGCGGCCGGCCGGCCCGCCGGCAUGGCAGAAGCUGAGGAAGACUGUCAUUCUGACACUGUCAGAGCAGGAGAUGUUGAUGAAAAUGAGAGGCCUGCUGAGACAGACCUGCAGGCCCAGCUCCAGGGGUUUCGAGCUCAGUGGAUGUUUGAACUUGCCCCAGGUGUGGGCUCCAGCCACUUAGAAACUGGACCUUGCAGAGCAGCAAGAGGCUCUCUACUGAAAGCAGCCGCAGAUACCAAAGGAAAGCAAGAACUGGCAAAAGAAAAGGCUCGAGAACUCUUCCUAAAAGCAGUAGAAGAACGAAAUGGCGCUCUCUAUGAAGCCAUCAAGUUUUAUCGCAGGGCUAUGCAACUUGUGCCUGACAUAGAGUUCAGGAUCACUUACACCCGGCCUCCAGAUGGGGACGGCGCUGGAAAGAGCUACAUUGAGGAUAAUGACGAUGACAGCAAGAUGGCAGAUCUCUUGUCCUACUUCCGGCAGCAACUCACAUUUCAGGAUUCUGUGCUCAAACUGUGUCAGCCGGGGCUCGAGAGCAGUCAGACUCACAUAUCAGUGCUGCCAAUGGAGGUCCUGAUGUACAUCUUCCGAUGGGUGGUGUCUAGUGACCUGGACCUCAGGUCAUUGGAGCAGUUGUCACUGGUGUGCAGAGGAUUCUAUAUCUGUGCCAGAGACCCUGAAAUAUGGCGCCUGGCUUGUUUGAAAGUAUGGGGCAGAAGCUGUGUUAAACUUGUUCCAUACUCAUCCUGGAGACAUAUGUUUUUAGAACGGCCUCGUGUUCGGUUUGAUGGAGUGUAUAUCAGUAAAACCACAUAUAUUCGUCAAGGGGAGCAGUCUCUUGAUGGCUUCUACAGAGCCUGGCACCAAGUGGAAUAUUACAGGUACAUAAGAUUCUUUCCCGAUGGCCAUGUGAUGAUGUUGACAACCCCUGAGGAGCCUCAGUCCAUUGUUCCCCGUUUAAGAACUAGGAACACCAGAACGGAUGCAAUUCUGCUGGGUCAUUAUCGCUUAUCACAAGAUACAGACAAUCAGACCAAAGUAUUUGCUGUAAUAACUAAGAAGAAAGAGGAAAAACCACUUGACUACAAAUACAGGUAUUUUUGUCGUGUCCCUGUGCAAGAAGCAGAUCACAGUUUUCAUGUGGGGUUGCAGCUAUGUUCCAGUGGCCACCAGAGGUUCAAUAAACUCGUUUGGAUCCAUCAUUCUUGUCACAUCACUUACAAAUCAACUGGUGAGACUGCAGUCAGUGCUUUUGAGAUCGACAAGAUGUACACACCCUUGUUCUUCGCCAGAGUGAGGAGCUACACUGCGUUCUCAGAAAGGCCCCUAUAGGGCUCCUGGCCAGUCCUUGUCACUGUUGCAUGAAUUAAAGUACAAAGCGCAAAAGAGCACCUAAG